GCUUCUUGAUGAGGAGGAGGCUUCAGCAGUUUUGCUACAGUCUGAGUUUGCAUUAAGUUCUUUGAAGAUCGUGUUUCUCUGAAAUCGGCAGAGCGUCGUGU